UACAGGGGGUGCAAACGUUGCUCGGAAUUAUUGGGCGUAAAGCGCACGUAGGCGGUUCGUUAUGUCGGAUGUGAAAGCCCUUGGCUCAACUGAGGAAGUGCAUCCGAAACUGGCGAGCUAGAGUAUGUAAGAGGGUCGCGGAAUUCCCGGUGUAGAGGUGAAAUUCGUAGAUAUCGGGAGGAACACCGGUGGCGAAGGCGGCGACCUGGGACAAUACUGACGCUGAGGCACGAAAGCGUGGGGAGCAAACAGG
rnacentral:rRNA from 1 species